CAGAGUUGAUCAUGGCUCAGGACGAACGCUGGCGGCGUGCCUAACACAUGCAAGUCGAGCGGAGACAGUGAGUAGCUUGCUAUGAGCUGUUUUAGCGGCGGACGGGUGAGUAACGCGUGAGCAACCUUUCCCAGACAGGGGAAUAACACACCGAAAGGUGUACUAAUACCGCAUAAGACCACGGGAUCACAUGGUUCUGGGGUAAAAGAUUUUAUCGGUUUGGGGUGGGCUCGCGUCCGAUUAGGUAGUUGGUGAGGUAACCGG
rnacentral:rRNA from 1 species